CCCCAGCUGACGAGUCCCAAAUAGGACGAAACAUCUGUUCUGGAU
rfam:Schistosoma margrebowiei strain Zambia genome assembly, scaffold: SMRZ_contig0000556